GGACAUAGGUGUACCAUUAGACAUAGGUGUAUCAUUGGACAUAGGUGUACCAUUGUACAUAGGUGUAUCAUUGGACAUAGGUGUACCAUUGGUUUGGACAUAUGUGUAUCAUUGGACAUAGGUGUAUCAUUGAACAUAAGUGUAUCAUUGGACAUAGGUGUACCAUUGGACAUAGGUGUAUCAUUGGACAUAGGUGUAUCAUUUGUGUACCAUUGGACAUAGGUGUAUCAUUGGACAUAGGUGUACCAUUAGACAUAGGUGUACCAUUGGACAUAGGUGUACCAUUGGACAUAGGUGUAUCAUUGGACAUAGGUGUAUCAUUGGAAAUAAUAUGUUAACCAAUAUAUGGAUGUGUUUUCUGGUAUUAUAGGGUUGAUCGUUGAUGUCUCAUUGUUGUACAACACACCUACUUUCAUUCACAAG
rnacentral:lncRNA from 1 species